rnacentral:rRNA from 1 species
UACGUAGGGGGCUAGCGUUGUCCGGAAUCAUUGGGCGUAAAGCGCGCGUAGGCGGUCAGGUAAGUCCGGUGUGAAAGUCAAAGGCUCAACCUUUGAAUGCCGCUGGAUACUGCCUGACUUGAGUACGGGAGGGGCGAGUGGAAUUCCUGGUGUAGCGGUGAAAUGCGCAGAUAUCAGGAGGAACGCCAAUGGCGAAGGCAGCUCGCUGGAACGGUACUGACGCUGAGGCGCGAAAGCGUGGGGAGCGAACAGG